rnacentral:rRNA from 1 species
GUAGGGAAUAUUGCGCAAUGGACGAAAGUCUGACGCAGCGACGCCGCGUGAGUGAUGAAGGCCUUAGGGUCGUAAAGCUCUGUUGAAUGGGAAGAAAAAAAUGACGGUACCAUUCGAGGAAGGACCGGCUAACUUCGUGCCAGCAGCCGCGGUAAUACGAGGGGUCCUAGCGUUGUUCGGUAUCAUUGGGCGUAAAGGGUGUGUAGGUGUCAAUGUAAGUCAGGUGUGAAAGCCCCGGGCUCAAACCGGGAAGUGCACUUGAUACUGCGUGGCUUGAGUACCGAAGAGGGUAGUGGAAUUCCAGGUGUAGUGGUGAAAUACGUAGAUAUCUGGAGGAACACCGGUGGCGAAGGCGGCUACCUGGUCGAGUACUGACACUGAGACACGAAAGCAUGGGGAUCAAACAGGAUUAGAAACCCUGGUAGUCC